AUGCUGCCUCACUCCCUAUUACUCUGCCUCCUCUUCCUCACCCCAACCUCCGCCUCCUAUGCCAACGAUGGGUUCGCCUAUGACGGUUUCUCCCAUGCCAUGCUCCUUAUUGAUGGUGUAGCUUCAAUCGCAGGCAGAGCUCUCAUGCUAACCGAUGGUGCUGCCCAGAGUGUAGGACACGCUUACUACGGAAGCCGGUUUGACUCUAUUUCCUCCUUCUCCACAACCUUCGUGUUCAUCAUCACUCCCUCUUACUCUGAUUUAGGCGGAUAUGGGCUUGCCUUUACGAUUUCCGCUACAGCAGACUCUUUAUUGGAUGCCCUUCCGUCUCAGUACAUGGGCAUCUUCAACUCUCAAAACAUCGGUAAUGUCACAAAUCAUCUCUUUGCCGUCGAGCUUGAUACCAUCCGAAAUAGCGAAUUUGGGGAUAUUGAUGCUAAUCAUGUUGGAAUCGAUGUGAACACCUUGGUCUCUAUCAACUCCCACACUGCUGGAUACUACACCCCAAAUGGCACGUUCUCCCCCUUGUCACUUAUUAGUGGUAAACCGAUGCAAGUAUGGGUGGACUAUGAUGACAAUUCACACCACGUGAAUGUCAGUUUAGCACCUUACUUAGAGGAGAAGCCUCAGCGCCCACUGCUAUCCAGCACUGUCAAUCUUACAUCUAUUUUGCCAAGCUCGGUAUAUGUUGGCUUUGCCUCUGCAACCGGCACCCUAAGUUCCAUACACAGCAUUAUUGGCUGGAGUUUCAAUCCAAAUGGGGAGGCCAAACCACUUAACUACUCAGCAUUGUCUGGAGUUAUACAGGAUGUUCGACGGAAUGAUCAAAGUGGCUCGCAGGUUCAAUUGGGUGCUCAAAGUGGCUCGCAUAUCUCUGGGGGUGUUAUUACAACAGUUGUUAUUCUGUCAGUGUUCAUCACAAUUGUCAUUAUCAUUGCUCUUUAUGUUUAUAUGAAGAAGGCAAGGAAAAGUGGUGAGUGGGAAAUCGAUUGUGGGUCAUCAUCCUUCACAUACAAAGAUCUUGCCGCUGCGACCAACGGUUUCAGUGACAGGAUGCUUCUUGGGAAAGGAGGAUUUGGAAAGGUAUACAAAGGGCUGCUACAAAACUCGAAGCAAGAUGUUGCCAUCAAGCGGGUUUCGCCAGAGUCAAAGCAGGGGAUGAAGGAAUUCAUAGCUGAGAUAACCAUCCUAGGCCAUCUCCGCCAUCGCAACCUUGUGCAGUUGCUCGGUUAUUCUCGACACAAGAGCGAGCUCCUUCUGGUUUACGAUUACAUGCCAAAUGGCAGUCUUGAUAGAGUUUUGCAUGGUCAAGAUAAGCGGACUGUCGACUGGUUUCACAGAUUCAACAUUAUAAAAGGCAUUGCAUCUGGUCUUUGCUACCUCCACGAGGACUGGGAGAAGGUGGUCAUCCAUCGAGACAUCAAAGCGAGCAACGUGCUCCUCGAUAAUGAAAUGAACGGUAGACUAGGUGAUUUUGGUCUGGCAAGAUUACACAACCAUGGUACAGAUGCCCACACCACACAUUUGGCUGGCACCUGGGGGUACAUUGCCCCCGAGCUGGCUAGGCUAGGAAGGGCAACCAAGGCAACUGAUGUCUUUGCAUUCGGUGUCUUCAUGUUGGAGGUUGCUUGUGGGAGGCGUCCAAUACAGGUGAAUGAUUCUGAUGGCGAGCCAGUGCUGCUGACAGACUGGGUGGUCGAUGCAUGGGAGAGCGGUUCGCUCCUCAAAACGGUAGACCCAAAAUUAGAAGAUUAUGUCAGGGAGGAAGCAGAGUUAGUACUAAAGCUUGGCUUGCUGUGCUCUCACCCAGUACCAAGUGCUAGGCCAUGCAUGCGCCUAGUGAUGCAAUACCUUGUAAAGGAUGUGCUACUCCCGGAUUUCCAAUCAAGUUUUUUGAGCCUUACUAGCAGGGAUGAAGAAUUUGGGCAGCAUAUCCUGUCAUGCCCUUCUGUAGCGACGACCAUAACAGGACUUUCUGGAGGAAGAUGA
rnacentral:rRNA from 1 species